UGUCGUUUCAGAAAUGUGUCACCAUUGGAUCAUGGAAGCCGAGCAAAUCUUUUAAACCGUCAGAGGUUCCGUGGACGCUGUUGGAGGCAGACUGCUGCAUCAGAGCGCUAUAUAUUUAAGACGACCAGGAAACUUUUCUUCCAGUUUCGUCAGGAAAUUUUCUUCCAGUUUCGUCAGGAAACUUACCAGUCAAAUGGUGGUUGAUCUUAUUGUUUUUAAUGACGGAGAAACCGUCGCCACCUUUGGCCAGGAAGGAGGGCAUGGCGACGCUGUAGAUGGCGUCGUCCUUCACGUCCUGGAACUCCGGUACUCGGCACUCCUGACAGCGAGCCUGUAGCCUCACCACCCUCGACCCCGGCGGGAGGUUGACGUCGUACACCACCACGAAGCCUACCAUACGAGAGACAGUCACGACGAUUAGAGAAAACGGUCAACCUACCGGAGACUUGCAAAAAUCCACCAGGGUGAGUGAGCGCUUGAGGGUCGUACUGAGACACAGAAUGCUCAAACAUUUCCAUGACGUGCUUGCCCUUAAGCUCAACGAUGUCUAUGGUAUUCUGGAAUGGCGCUACAGACUAAUUACCAGCAACAACUCCAGAACUCACUAUGUGAAUGAUGGCGUCGGUCUGGAGGUUGCCCAUGUUGCACUCCCUCAUCCUGCAGGAGAGUCUGUUGCCGUCCAGGAAGACGUACGACUUGCCUACAUUCUC